rnacentral:rRNA from 1 species
AGAGUUUGAUCCUGGCUCAGGAUGAACGCUGGCGGCGUGCCUAAUACAUGCAAGUCGAGCGAACGGACGAGAAGCUUGCUUCUCUGAUGUUAGCGGCGGACGGGUGAGUAACACGUGGAUAACCUACCUAUAAGACUGGGAUAACUUCGGGAAACCGGAGCUAAUACCGGAUAAUAUUUUGAACCGCAUGGUUCAAAAGUGAAAGACGGUCUUGCUGUCACUUAUAGAUGGAUCCGCGCUGCAUUAGCUAGUUGGUAAGGUAACGGCUUACCAAGGCAACGAUGCAUAGCCGACCUGAGAGGGUGAUCGGCCACACUGGAACUGAGACACGGUCCAGACUCCUACGGGAGGCAGCAGUAGGGAAUCUUCCGCAAUGGGCGAAAGCCUGACGGAGCAACGCCGCGUGAGUGAUGAAGGUCUUCGGAUCGUAAAACUCUGUUAUUAGGGAAGAACAUAUGUGUAAGUAACUGUGCACAUCUUGACGGUACCUAAUCAGAAAGCCACGGCUAACUACGUGCCAGCAGCCGCGGUAAUACGUAGGUGGCAAGCGUUAUCCGGAAUUAUUGGGCGUAAAGCGCGCGUAGGCGGUUUUUUAAGUCUGAUGUGAAAGCCCACGGCUCAACCGUGGAGGGUCAUUGGAAACUGGAAAACUUGAGUGCAGAAGAGGAAAGUGGAAUUCCAUGUGUAGCGGUGAAAUGCGCAGAGAUAUGGAGGAACACCAGUGGCGAAGGCGACUUUCUGGUCUGUAACUGACGCUGAUGUGCGAAAGCGUGGGGAUCAAACAGGAUUAGAUACCCUGGUAGUCCACGCCGUAAACGAUGAGUGCUAAGUGUUAGGGGGUUUCCGCCCCUUAGUGCUGC